rnacentral:ncRNA from 1 species
UUUCUUUUGAUGUUUCCCUUAGAAAAUUAUUAGAGGCAUAGGGGUGUAACACCCUCAAACUAUUCUUAAACUUUAAAUAAGUAAGAUGAUUUAGCUUUUCCAUUGAGUUGUGCAAUGGAAUCACAGGCUCCAAGUGAGACAAUUUUGGUAAGAACAAUUGGUGAUAUGGAAUGACCUGAAAGUUGAGUUGUGGUGUAAAAAUGUGGCUAGACCAGAUCCCACAAAGAGUGUUGUUUGAUUAGGACAGCAAGACGGUGGUCAUGGAAGUAAAAAUACACUAAGGAGUGUGUAAGAAAUCACCCAUCGAAUCAAGUAGACCAAGAAAUGGAUGGCACUGAAGUGCACAACCUUUACUCAAUUGUAAGAGAUAUUUCCAGGCUUCAAUGAGUAGGACGAUGUGGGGGUAUUUUAGAAACCUUAAGUGUAAGACUGGAUGGAUUGAUCCUUGAUG